GGGUUAGAUGGAGAAGGGGGGUUCAUUUCUUUCUGAUAGUGACGGCCUUGGUUCACAGGCUGAAAGAAACAAAACAUCUGUGAGGCGGAAACCCAUCAGCUUGGCGACCUUGGCACACACCCUCGCAUCAGUCCUCAUUUCUGAUGUUUUGAUAUCAACGGUUCUCAUUUUUUGAGAUCUUAUUUCUGAUAUUCCAUCUGCAGGAGAGAGCUGCGUCCCCUUCCCAGCGUAGGCAGAGGCUCUGGGAGACCCAGCAAUCCCAGGGUGGCAUAACCCACAGAACGCAGGCCACUUUAAAGGGUUCCGUAGCAUCUGUGAUGUAAACAGAGGCCUCCCUCACAUGAGAGCUCUCCGUGUGGAAUCUUUAGGCUGUUGCUGCUUCUGGAGACAGCAGAGGAAAACAAGGUCUCCUGCUGAAAGCACUGGCAAUGGCUAGAGGUGCAGCAAAACAUAUUUAUGUCUCAGGGCCAGUAAGUUGGCGAGGACCACUCUGUUGCCGUUAGCUUGGACUGUUCAUGUGAAUCUCAGGUCCCACCCCCAAAUGUAUACGAAAACUGUGAGCAUGGAUCAGAAUGAGCUGACAAAGUGGUGCUAGUAAAAAUGGGGACUCUCUAACCCCCCCCACAAUAAACCUUUCCUCAUUUCUUGAAACACAACUAAGAAACACACAAAAAACAAGACAGAAAAACAAAUGAAUGCCAAUAAUAAAACUUGAUUUUCUUCCUCUUUGAGGAGAAAGUUCGGACAGCUAAUACCAACUCCAUUUUGAGGAUAAUUCUAAAUGUUUUCCUAACGUGGCUAACAAUGACAAAAUUCUAACAUGGAAACCACAUUAUUUUGGCCUUCUUGUUUUACCACACGGUGGAACUUGGCAUGCAUUUGUGAAGUGCAUUCAGAACUCCUGCUCCCACAGGGGUUGCUAAGGCCCCUUCACCCUAGUGAGGAGAUGUGGUCCCAUGGUGCAGAGGUGCAGAGACCAAGCUAAGAUGUGUCAGUCACCCAUGUGAGAAUCAUGUCACUUAGCCUGGCUACCUGCGAUGCACCAUGCAUUUCGGUGCUCUCAGAUAAUUUGGUGAGUGAACGGCAGGCAACACCGUCACGGUAAUCAGAAAUAACAGCUGGGAGAACAGUGGAAGGGAAAUAUGUCAUAAGGCAUAACUCAUCUCACCAGAGAAAUCAAAAUUUCAGCAAUUUGCAAGUGAAAUUUAGUUGGCAAUUUAGGCUUUAUUAUUUAGAGCGAGAGCUGCUUCUCUGGAUCAGCUUGCACUGGGAUAGGAAAUGUCCCAAUGAUGCCGUCGUUGGCAUCCACUGUGCGUCUGCAGCACUGAGGCCUCUGGUGAAUGGACUUCUGCUUAUUUAUCUCCACAUGCACUUCCAGAACUUUCUGGGUAGGUAUCACAGCUCCAUAACCGAGCAAAUGUCCACCCCUGAAUUUUAUAGCCAUUGGUUCUAUGUAAACUCAUUCCAAGCCCUUAUUCCAGAUGCUGUCUUUCCUUCCUUGGAAAGCUCUUUGCCCUGGGCACACUAGUUCUUCUCAGUGAUCCAAGGGGGAAGAAAGGCACAUCCAAUAAUGACUCACAAUAGUGUUUGGAAACAUUCAAUAACAGCUUUUCAGAGAAGGAAAAACUUCAUAUGCAGAGGUAUGUCUGCCUGAAGUCAAAUGUCAUCAAGUUGACUUUAUGGGGCUGAAGACCUGCUACCCCACCUGUGGUAUCUUGCAUUGAGAAACAGAAGCAGUGACAAGGUUGCACAUCCCUGCCCUUGCUCUUUACCUCAUACAACUGAGGAAGGAGUUUGUGGUGUACUCCUAAACCUUAUGUGAUCCUCCCUGCACCCAGAAGAAAGGAUCCCCCUUAUCUCAAGAAGGUGCAGGAACACAGGGGAGAGGCUGAUCAAAAGGCCUUGCUAAGCUCUCCUGGUAUCCUUCCAGUAGAUCAUAUCACCUUUAUUAAAUCAUAGUUCUCCAUGAAUUUCCACUCUGUCUAAUCUAGCAUGACAAUAAGCAAGAGACCAUUUCUCUUGGAAAAUUCAAGUGUAAUCAUUUCUCUGGGUCUUCCUUUUUUUUCUUUUUGAGGGUUCUUGUGUCAUGAAACACGUAUGAAAUUUAUUUGUAGGCUUUAAAAAAGAAAUGAAUCUGUCUUCUAUUAUAAAUUCUCAGCCAUGGACCUAAGGUGGGUAGUGAAGGAGACAUUUUCCCUUUCCUGGGUUUCUCCUAUAGACAUAUCAAUAAGUUUGUUUUUUGGGUAGGUAACAUCCUGUGACGGUAUCUGUGAUGGUCAAAUAAAAUCAAGGUUUGAUUUUGGAAUUUAGCCUUACGUGCAGAAUACUCUAAGUAUUCUUAGAGUAUAAUGCAAAAGGCCAUUGCUCAUGCCCAGAAGUAACAACACCAACUCCAAUAGCAGCAGCAACUUACUGGUGUCUACGAACACCUACGAGGGCCACAGCAGUGACGCAUAUUUACCUCAGUUACCUCGUGCUAAUUCUCGAGAGGGAUGAUCUCAUUUGAGCCCCACUGCAAGCCUGUGAACUACAUAUGAUUAACUCAUUUAUUAGAAGAGGACAUUCUGCUACUAGUAUUAACCCAAGACCGUGCUUGCCAGGACACGGUGCAGCUAGGAUCUGUACCCAUUCGUGAGACUCCAUCUCGGCACUAGUUUGUUUGUAUUGUUUAAUGCAGCUUGGGAAUUCACGCAGAAUGUGGAAUGCAAUGUUUCUGAAUAACAACCUGGCAGGAUCCAUUCAGUAUACGGAAAGGAAAAAGGAAGCAGUCCCAAGAUACAUUUGUCUGAAGCAUACGAGACUGUCCGAUUUUUAUAAAUUAAGUUCACUUGAUUUGACACUCACAGCAUGUCGCUAUAUAUUUAAAGUUAACAUCAGUAAGAUUUUAAGCACACUGAUGAACGUGGGCCUGUUAUAUAUAGUUGAGUUAUAUCAGGCAACACACACUCGGAGAAUAAGGACCAUUCAUAUUGUGAGGUGACUUUUGUAGUCGCUAGCCAUAGAACAACUUGCACAUAACCAUAUUUUCUCCUGACAGCACAGAAAUGACCGUGACUCUAAUAUCAGUUUCCUCGUAUCAUUUCUCAGUUUCAUCUGAUUUUAUCUACAGUGCAGCACAAUCAAAACCCUACCUUCCUAGUUUACCCAGAUAACAAACAAGCCUGGCAUAUCCUGCAAGAGCUGAGGAACUAAUGAGUCUGUGGAUGAGAAGAAAUUAAGACCCAUUAGGGCCCCAGUCCGUGUGCACGGCCCCAGGAUGCCUGCUUAGCUCCAGGAGCCAUGAGAAGAGGAACUUGAAGAACUCCUGCCAGGUAGCAGGCUCCUAACAUGGAAAGGCCCUUUGGGGCUGGCUCAGCAGCUAAUGGUGCUUUCCACAGAGCCUGACAACUGGGCCCAGUCAAUCCCUGGGACUGCCAUGGUGGAAGAGAACUAAUUCAGCCAGGCUGUGCUCCAACAUCCAUGCCCGUGCCAUGGUGCGUACCCCUCACAGAUAGAUGAACGUAAAGGACUUCUUUAAUAAAAAGUUAGCCACCCUGUAAGGCAGAGGAGGCGGUGGAAACAACCAAACCCAGACAAAAUCCAAACAAACAAGUGGGUGUGUCCCAAAGGGAGAGGUCAAUGGAAGAGCAGGCAGGCUGGCAGAGAACAGGGACAGGGGACACUGUGGCUGGAGCGCAGUGUCAUUCGCCUGUGCACAUGCUGGAUGGGGUGGGGCAGGCAGCCAGGGUGAGUCUCAAGUUCUAUGUGAGCUGAGGGAGAGGGCCUGAAGAGAAGGGUAUCUGGCAUAAGGAGAGACGCUGCUCUCACCUCCACAGUCUGCCUCUUUCUCGAAUCUGAAAUGCCUUCCUCUGUUUUGUCUACAUGUAAACUUGCACUCCUUCAUGAGCUCUGACCUAAGUGAGGACGUCUGACAGCGUGCCUGGGACCUAGAGGCCAUGUUGAUAUGGAUUGCUCCUUCCUAUACCUUCCCACAGUUCUUUGUCUCACUGACACUCAUCAUCCUGAAUCGCAGAGCUUCUGUCGCUCUGUGAGCAUCCUAAGGUGGGGACAAGUUUUAUCCCUAACAUCCCUCCUAGUCCCCACCACAUUGUACUGAAUAGGUGCGGAAUGAGCGCAUGCGACACAGAUGACGAAGUCUGGGACGGGAGGUGGACAUUUACUCCUGCUCUGGGCACAGAGGAAGAUAUGGCCUUCACAGUGAGGCCUAGAGUAGUGCCACCGAAAAUCCUGGAGCUGUCUGGGUGUCAAUCCGGAGCAAGGUACACGGAUACCCUCACCGUGCAGGUACAGAGCUGGAACUGUAACUUGGAGGGAAUGGUGGAGAGAAGGGGGAAGUGAGGCUGGGGUAGGGUGGUCUCUCAGAGUGCAGGAAGCCCUCUGCCUCAGACUCCAGAGGCAAUGGGAGUCACUGCUUUAGGGAGAACGGAGCGUGUGUGAAUAUCCACAGAGACCAGAAGAGGAGGUUGGGUCCCCUAGAGCUGGAGUAACAGGCAGCUGUGGGCUGCCUGCUGUGGCUACAACAGACUGAAUUCUGGCCAUCUGACAACUAAGGAUUUUACUAAGUGCUUAUUAUGUUUCAAAUUCAGCAGCAGAUGUUUUACAAGGCGGUAGGCCACCGGGUGAGUGCUCCUAACCCUUAGAUCAGAGGCAAGGAGAUGAGGUAUGAGAAAAGCCAGACAAACAGCACCGCGCCAAGUCCCUCUUCUGACCUCCGAGGAUACCAGGAGUGCACAUGUUCCAGUGGUGGAGCAAACCGAACUUGAUGAAAUAAUAAACACGUCCCAUGAAUCUGAAGAGACUUCUGGAUUCACUGUCCAUGAUGACUUGCAUGUUCUCUCAAGAGCACAGGAACCUUAUCUUCCAUUGGAUGCCUGUAGCACCCAUUUGACAAGCAACUCACAUAUUAAGAGUCAGGAAGACAGCCGGGCCACUUCUCAGGAACCGCAGUGUUCUCACAGGAAGUGGAAACGCUAGUGGCAGCUGGAAGGACUCAUGUAACUAACACAUUGGACUACACGCCAAGAGGCUGCCCAGACACACGAUGUCUACAAAACUGUUGGGGGGCCUGGAACAACUGGCAGAUAGCAAACAAUUACUUAUUAAAUAUGCAAAACUUAUCUUCUCUCUACUACAUUUGAACUUAACAUUAUGUAGGUUUAAAACGUAUCUUAAACAUUUUAAGGAUUUAUUGAUAUUUACUUAAUGUGUUUGUGUGUUUUGUCUGCAUGUUCAUCUGGUGCUCGUGGAGGUAGGAAGAGGACAUGGAUACCUUGGGACUGGAGUUACGGUACUUUUAAAUGAUGCACUGUCUCCCCAGGCACGUUUCUAUGAUGGGAACCUUUAUUAUUUCCAUUUGGCACCCGAAUAAGCAGGCAAGAGAGGGUCAGGGACCUAUGUUGGCCCUGUGGGAGUUGGAAUUAUUCUCUGGCUAGUUUAGUUGGGAUUACAGACAGACCACACGAGAAGAGGCAGCUUUUGUUUACUAAAGCGUUUCCGCCCUGGGAAUGGAGGCCAGGAUGUUGCAUGUGCUGAGCAAGGCCCUGACCACUGUGGUACAUUUACAAGCCUGAGUCAAAGUUACUUUAUCUUUCCUUCUCUGCUAGGCCAUGACUAUACUAAUGUGCUUUAACAUGUGAACAUGUGGCAGUGUCAGCCUUUAAAACAUAUCUGAAGCUCUUAACACAACCCCUCAAACACACGGAGGAGUCAGUCAGUGAACCUCAGUGACGUGUACACAAGGUUCCUUUCUGUCCUCACUGGGAGCAAUACUUACUGUGGUCGUAUUCACCAUUGUCCAUUCACUUAGUGAGCACUUCACUGAAAACUAUCAUGUCUCUUUUAUGUGGUAAGGGGCUUGUGCUACAAGCAGGGGUUGUCAGAGUCCAUUUUGGUGCAUGAUUUUAUACACUGCUGUGGUUUGUGCAUUUUCCCCAAGUCUAUUAUAACAGACACGUCAUCACCUACAUGAAGCAGAGUGGGGCGGGGUCCUUAAGAGGUAGUUAGAGAGCAAGGACUCUGAGUUCAAUAAGUUCCCAUUAUUGUAGGAGCGAGUUCUUGACAACAAGACUCGUUGAGCUCCUUUCCACUAGUGUGUUUCUGCUCCCUGUGCCUUCUCCGUUUUCCCUGCUUUCAUGGGACAGUGCAGGAAGACCCUGGACCUUUCAGCCUUCAGAACUGAACAAAGUCGAUCUCUGUAUUCAUCAGUGACUUGGUUCUCAUCUGCUGUGGAGAUGAGAACUACGUAGGAGAACUACGGCAACCAAUCAUCAUACCUACAUUUCCAAGAGGGCAUAAGACAGUCUGAGACGCGACAGUGCCAUCGUAUGCUACCUGUCCUUCCCAUAAAAGCCUAUUUCAGAAUGAGCUCUGCACACCUCUCAUGGUCGGAGGCUCACUUUUGACUCUACUUGCCCCAGGCGAGUCUGGGCUCGCUCCUUUUGAAGGCAAGGGAAUGGAUGCAAAGUAUAGG
rnacentral:sRNA from 1 species